rnacentral:rRNA from 1 species
AUUGAACGCUGGCGGCAGGCCUAACACAUGCAAGUCGAGCGAGCGGCGGACGGGUGAGUAAUGUAUGGGGGCUGCCCGAUAGAGAGGGAUAACCACUCGGAUCGAUAGUUCCUACAGCACAUUAUCGGAUAAUCCAUAUGGGAUUAGCUCGUAGGUGAGGUAAUGGCUCACCUAGGCGACGAUCACUAGCUGGUCUGAGAGGCUGAUCAGGCACACUGGGACUGAUACACGGCCCAGACUCCUACGGAGGCAGCAGUGGGGAAUAUGGCACGAUGGGGGCAAGCCUGAUGCAGCCAUGCCGCGUGUAUGAAGAAGGCCCUCGGGUUGUAAAGUACUUUCAGUCGGAAGGCGUUACCGGCAGAAGAAGCACCGGCUAACUCCGUGCCAGCAGCCGCGGUAAUAC